rnacentral:rRNA from 1 species
UAAAACCUAUUUAUAAUGGCGGCAUUUCAUCUUAUUAGAGGAACCUGUUCUAUAAUCGAUAAUCCACGUUAAAUUUCACUUAAAUUAAAAAUUUAUAUACCGCCAUCUAAAAAACUAAUUCAAUAAUAAUAUUUUUAAAAAAAAUAAAAAGUUAGGUCAAGGUGUAAUCUAUAUUUAAGCAAACAAUGGGUUACAUUAAAAUAAAUUUAAGAAUAUUUUUACAAAAAAUAAAAAAUUGAAAAAGGAUUUAAAAGCAAUAAUAAAAUAAUAUUUUAUUAUG